rnacentral:rRNA from 1 species
CGUAAGCGUAUACCAAAGUUGUUGCAGUUAAAACGCUCGUAGUCGGAAUUUGGCAGUUCCGGAUGUGUGCACGUCGUGUGCGCACUUCGCGGGGAUUGCUUUUGUGGUCUUGCGUAGGAUGAGGCACUUUUAUUAGUGAACGUCCUCACGCAACCACUUUUUACUGUGAGAAAAUCAGGGUGCUCAAAGCAGGCAUUUGCCGUGAAUGUAUUAGCAUGGAAUAAUAGAAUAGGACUUGGUUCUAUUUUGUUGGUUUGUUGGGACUGAGUAAUGAUUAAGAGGGACAGUUGGGGGCAUUUGUAUUUCGGUGCUAGAGGUGAAAUUCUUAGAUUACCGAAAGACAAACUGCUGCGAAAGCGUCUGCCAAGGAUGUUUUCAUUGA